rnacentral:pre_miRNA from 1 species
GUAGACAGUGUAUGUAGACAGUGUAUGUAGACAGAGUGUAUGUAGACAGCUGUCUACAUACACUCUGUCUACAUACACUGUCUACAUACACUGUCUGCA